rnacentral:tRNA from 2 species
GGGCUCGUAGCUCAGGUGGUUAGAGCGCACCCCUGAUAAGGGUGAGGUCGCUAGUUCGAGUCUAGCCGGGCCCACCA